AUGGCAACACCAGAUCCUUUAACCCACAGAGUGAGGCCAGGGAUCAAAUCUGCAGCCUCGUGGAUACUACUCGGGUUCAUAACCCGCUGAGGCCCAACUGGUGUUCCCUUCCCUAAAUUCUUGAGCCCUGUGCCCUGUGUGCUUCCUCACCUGUUCCAGCCCCUCUGCUCCAGGUGUGUUCACGGCUGUUCUCCUGACACGUGGAUAUUAGCUUCUCAUCUUCUCACAUGGAUGGUGCCUGGGACUGAAGGCCUUCUCCCUUCUCACCUUGUAGAAGGAAUCUUUGUACUAAACUCGAUGGCCAAAUGACUUUGAAAUUUAUUGAAAGUCAAGCAAAAGAUUCCUCAUGAACGCUGUCUUCCCACAGUAUUAGGAAGGUCUGAUAGCAGACCUCAGAUUCCAGGCUACCCUCACACUGGAGUACGUGUUAGAGGCAUCAGAAAACAUCCACAAAAUAUCAACUAAGAGAGGAGUUCUCCUGUGGCACCGUAUGUUAUGGAUCUGGUGUCAUCACUGCAGCGGAUUCGGUCACUGCAGCAGAAAUGGAAGGGGCGUGGUUUCAAUCCCUGGCCAGGGAACUUCCACUUGCAUUUUGGCACAGCCCAAAAUAUAUAUAAUAUAUAUAAAUAUAUAUUAUAAUGAUAUAAUAUAUAUUAUAAUAUAUAUAUUGUGUUGAAGUCAACACUCAUCUAAACCCCUCUCCAGCUCUUAGAUUAGAUGAUAAGUAAGGUUUGCUUCUGUCAUUUUUGUCCUCAUUUCCUCCUCCUUCUUUGAGCUGAUCACAUACAUGCCGUGUCACCUAGAGUUCUGGGCUGCCUUUCUUCGCCCUUCCAUUUCUCCACACUUCAGGGGUUUUGUUUGUUUGUUUGUUUGUUUUGUUUUGUUUUGUUUUUUAAUGAGAGUUGCAAUGUUUAUUUCAGUUUCCCUCUUAUUUUUUUUCCUAUGUUCUUUUUUGCCAUACCUGCUGCUACAGUAGCCAUCAGAGCCACAGCAGUGAAAAUGCAGGAGCCUUUACCUACUUAGGCCAUCAGAGAACGCCCACUUUAGUAAUUUUUUUAAUGAUGGAAAAAUAGUUGAUUUACAAUGUGUGAGUUUCAGCGUUUCUGCCUGUUCAAAACCAGAGGCUUGCGUAUGCAGAGCUGUUGAUGCCCAAGGCUGUGCGUUGUAUGGCUGCUGCAGCCACAGAGAAACACUAAUUGCCAUGCUGAUAAGCCGAGAAAGGAAAAAAUGCCUCAGGGACAAUGCCAGACCCAUUUAAGAAGAGAAUCCUUAAAGCGCAUCUCCACAAACUUCAGCCUUUUAAAUAAAACCAUCUUUUUCUCUCCCCCCAGUUUUUUUACUUCCUUUGCCUUCAUCUUGUUCUCUUAGACAGUUACUAGAAUGGACCCUUCCCGGACCUGAACAAGGCGUAUCAAACUAAAAACCAACAACAACAGAGCCCAGAAUCAAGGUCUCUGCUGUUGUCAAGUUCAGGAUUAGUUGGAAAGCCGCUGCCUUUCUGGUCUUGUCUCCCUAUCAUGAAACGCCAUUUUCCCAAGACAUUCUUGUAAUCCAUCCCCAUUCACCAAUCAGAAGGCCCAGUGGGGUGAUACUUAAUUCAUGUCUGUCAAUCACAGCACAAAGAAAAGGCCUUCAGCUGGCCACCGAGAGAAUCCUCUGCGCUGGAACAAAGAGUCCGUGGGGAUCUGUGGUCCCAGCCUCCCCUGUGCUCAGGGGCGGGCCAGGCAUCGCUGCUGGCCCUCGUGUGGUUUCAGAAUAAUUGUAGCUUUGGAAGCAACAAAGCAGAUUAAAGAGAUUAAAUCCACAGUGCAUCCCCUUCGACAUAGUCAGGGGAGAGUGAGAUUGGGACUUUCAUGUUUUAGCUCUUCAAUCGCAGAUCAGUAUGUCCUUGGCCUGGGACCUCAGCAUCACAUCCAAAUAUUUGAAUUUUAGAGUAACUGCUGUCACCUAGCCCUCUGGACUGGUGGUUGUCUUAGGUCCCUAAUUUUUACACUGACGUUUCAGCAAAACAAAGCAGCUGAGAUACGAAUCUAGGGUAUGAAAAUUGAAAAAGCUUCACUUCCCUGUUUUGCAUUUAUCUUUGGAAGUUGGAGGGAUAUGAAUAAUAAAUAAAUGCAAUGAAACGCUUCCGUGGCAAUUGUCGGUAACACAAACACAGGAUUUGAAGGCAGCAGCUGGACAACAAAGGAACAGUGCCUCAAGUUCAAGAUUAGCUCACCAAAGCUUUUUUUUUUUUUUUUUCCAAAACAGUCACGUGGAAGUACAGUACCAUUCCCUUUGCCCUGCCUCUCCUCUCCCAGUAACUGAACCAAAUUGGUUUUGUAUGUUGACACUAAGUAUCAGACUUAGAUGGAGGCUCCUCUGUAUGCAAGGGGCGUUUCUUUUACUGCAAGUAUCCUUUAAAUAUAUUUCAAGUAUUAGUCAUUCAAAAUACUUUCACAUUUGUUCACUCAAUUUUAAUCAAAGGGAGGGAUGUUUUACCAGCCCUUUUCUAGGCUCUUUUAACAAAAGGAGGGGGGAACAAACAAACAGUAAGGGAGGAUGGUUUAGAAAUAAAUGAGGGGUCACUGGGGGGAGAAAUGGAUUGGGGGAGGGGAAAGACCUGGUUUUGAAUCUCAUCCUUCUGAUUUCUAGCGCUCUGACUUUGGCAAGAUCUCUAAGCACUCGGAACUUCAGUUUCCUCUCCUGUUCAAUGGAAGUCAUCCCUUUCUCACAGUAAUCCCACUACAGUUAAGUCAGAGCUCCAGCGCCUUAUAUGCUUCUAGGAUGUAGCCGGAGGUGAGAAGUAAGGGAUUCUGGUCUAUCUUUGAGUUGUCACAUCAGCCCUUCAGUCAUUCUCCUGCCACACUUGUCUGGACUGGAGGAGAAAAAACACAACCUCUAAGGUGCCGUCUACGCCAGCCAGGCCAAGGAUCCACCUGCAACUCAUCCGGUCUGCCGUGUUCUCUCCGGCUUUACCGCUUUGACUUUGCCAUCCUUUCCGCAUGCAAUAUCGUCCACGCCCUCCUCCCAACUUAAACCAGGUGUUAUUCAUUCUUAAGCUUACGCUCACUCAUCACUUCAUUCAAGAAGUCUUCUUUCAUGCUGCCUCCAGACCCUGUGUGUGCUCCCUGCCCAGCACAGAAGUACCAUGGCAUCCAUUCUAUGGCAUUGGAAUAGCCUGGGUACAAGUCUCCUUUCACUGCUCAUCUCAAAGCAAUUGGAAUCUCAUCUCUGUGUCAUCAGCCCCUGCCCAAAACAGAGCAAGUGCCCAGCGUAGACUGAAGUCAAUUUCCUUCUUAACUGCAGCCCCGUCUCUGAGCCUCCCUCUUCCCUCUGUUCUCUCCUAACCCCCUUGCCCUCUGCACUCGAAUCCUUGGCAGUGCUGCCUACAUUUGAGCCAUUCGUGUAUUGAUGUGACUACUGGGUGACCACAGACUUGAAUUAAUUUAAUGUUCCCUCUCCCAGCCUUCUAAUUACCAGGAAGGGAUCUCAGCGCUCAGCCAGUUCUACCUCUCAUGUAAUGCAGGACCUACUUCCUGGAUGGUCACUUAGUCUUUGCUGAAAAUAAUCCCUAAAGCUUGGAUACCGAGUGGAUAUAAUGAAAGCAUCAAGGAAAACAUCCUGGCACAUGGGAGCUGAUUUGCUCUGUUGAUGAGGACAGGGCGAUCCAGUACCAACAGAAGCUGAGAAAGGAAGGGAUAUUUGGUUUUCUUCGGCAAACCUUCAUUUCUUUUCAGAUUACAGUCCAGGUGAAAAGGAUGUGUGACUACUUCAAUCUUUCGGGCUGUGUCCUGUGGGCUGGUUUUGGCUGGGACUCCACAGGUGAAAUGAUUGCAGCCUUCUGCUCGGGCUGCGAGGAGCCUUUGUUAUCUCCGCAGCGAGUUUUGGACUCUUAACAGUUUUUGAAGAAGAAAAAAAGAGGCAAAGACAGUGGCUCUUUGUGUGUCUCAAAGGCAGCACUGUUUCCUGGGGCUGGCACGGUCCACGGACAACGUGCUGCCCUUCAUGCGAGAUUGUUUCACUGCCCCGAUACAUGGACUGCCCGGUGCCAGUCUUCAUGCAGGAGAGAAACACUGGAUGCCCCCUGCGAUGGCAGGACCACUUACAAAGCAGCAAACGGAGACCACCUUCUGAUGCCAACUGUCAAUAAUCCAUCCUCAUCCUCUCCUCAGGUCCCGGAGAGGCUUCCUGUUACCUGGCUGAUUUAUGACGCCUGUUGCCCAGCAGUCAACUGUGGUCGUGAACUUAGAAGUGAGUUUCUCCAGAUCUCUCCCUCACAUUUCCUUUAUUCAGAUUCCUUUUCAAAAGUUGAAAAUCGAUGAGCAGCUCAGUCGUUCGGAAUACUUAUCUGUUUUUUAAAAUUGAAUUAGAAUUGAUUUACAGUAUUAGUUUCAGGUGUGCAACAUAGUGAUUCCUUAUUUUUAUAGAUUAUACUUCUCUUAAAGUUAAUUAUGGGGGGAGUUUUGUGGCGCAGUGGGCUGAGGAUAUGAUAUGGCUGUUGUCACUGCAGCAGCUCAGGUCACUGCUGUGGCGCGGGUUCGAUCCCCACUGGCCCAGGAACUUACACAUGCCACAGGCAUGGCGAAAAUUAAAAAUAAAAAUAAAUUAUAGGGAAAUCCAUCUACUGAUGCAGUCUGACUCCUUCAUCCUGCACACUUCAUUGUCUGAGACAUUUAACAGGCAUUUUUGAGGACCAGCUCUGUGCCACCCACUGUGCCUGGUUUCGAGGUACAGAGAGGAAAGAUUUUUGACUUGACAGAGAUGAGAGAUAAGUGACAGCUCGCUUGGUAAUAGGUAAUAACAGGGCACCGUGUGCCACGAAGCCCAGAGGAAGGGUCAUGGGACAUGGCCAGUGGGAGUCGUGGAGGCCUCACGGUGGCCGUGACUGAGUUGUCAUGGUGGAAACACAGAAGUCAACCAGGGGCUGAUGAUGGGGGGAGCAGGGUGAAGGCCCAGCAUGUUUAGGGACGGAAAGUAAUUCAGAAUUUUUGGCUUGUGGAGCGGCAGGAGAUAUUGAUGAAAAUAGAGAUUUUGAAAAUAAGCCUUGGGUGCCCUUUGGAUUUUAGAUUUUAUUCUAAAGUAACUAGGAGCUUUUGAAAGAUUUUUGCUAGAUGGUGACAUGGUCAAGUAUACUGGAUGGCCCAUGAGUCUGGACAAUGAACUUGUCCCACACACAAGGCAGCACAUUGCCAGUGAGUGGGCUAUGCCAGCCCAAGGAGCAGUGCUGCCAUGAGACAUAAAUGCAGGUUUCAGAAAGCUGGGGUGCAUCCUUCACCCCCAUAAGACUCGCCAUUCUUAAAAUUUAUUUUAAUGAAGUAUAUAGUUGAUUUACAAAGUUGUGUUUCUGCUGGACAGCAGAGUGAUUCAGUUAGAUAUAUAUUAUUCUAUAUGUUAUAUACACACACAUUCUUUCUCAUAGUCUUUUCCAUUACGAUUUAUCCCAGGACAUUGACUAUAGUUCCCUGUGCUUUACAGUAGGACCCUGUUGUUUAUCCAUCCUAAAUAUAUACUAGUUCGCAUCUGCUGUUCCCAAACUCCCAGUCCGUUCCACCCCCGUCUCCCCUCCCCCUGGCAACCACAGUUCUGUUCUCUAUGUCUGUGUAGACUCUGGGUUUUUUGUUUGUUUGUUUGGUUUGGUUUAUUUUUGGCCACACCCACAGCAUGUGGAAUUUCCUGGGCCAGGGGUCGAACUCAAGCCACAGCAGUGACAACACUGAAUCUUUAACCCUCUAAGCUACCAGGACGCUCCACAGACUCUUGUUUGGAGGGCAGAGUUGCUUUUACCCCGUACCUCUAAAACCUAGCUUAGUACAUAGUAAUAGUUGCUCAAUGGAUGUUUGUUGAAUGAAUGAAUGAAUGAAUGAUUCCACCUUCUGGGAGAAGAGGGAGCAAGUGUAAUCUUUCUUUUUUAAAAAAAAAAUUUAUUGGAAUAUAGUUGACUUACCAAGUUCUGUCAAUUUUAGGUAUACAGCAAAGUAAAUCAGUUACACAUAUAAACAUUCCUUUUCAGAUUCUUCCCCCAUAUCGGUUACCACACAUACUGAGUAAAUUUCUCUGUGUAUACAAUAGGUCCCCAUUACCCAUCUCUUCUCUGUAUAGCAGUGUGUAGAGAUCCAUCCCAACCCCAUUAUUUAGCCCUCCCCUGCAUCCCCUCAUAUUUCCCCUGUAAUCUUUCUUUUAGCGGAUUUCGUAUCAGGUUUCUGGUACCUGAAGACCGCUAUUCCUUUAGUCUUACAUUUUCGGGUACCACACCCCGAGAUCCUUCAAUGACCCUUCCUGUGAUGUGAUUCUUCCCCCACCAUCUUUAUUGACCUUGUUCUCAUUUGUCAUUGCUCCUCUGAUUAAAACGUGGGCCUGGAGUUCCCAUCAUGGCUCAGUGGUUAACAAACCCGACUAGUAUCCAUGAGGACCGGGAUUCGA